GUAACUUUCACCAAAAAAGAUGUCAUCCCAGUGCCCAGACACUGGGAUCCAGAAAACUUAAUUUUAAGUGAGUAUGCCAGGUGGUUGUAUAAUAAGAACUGGAUUCCAGUGUCAGCUACUUGCAUGACACCACCUGCUAUGCGAAUU
rnacentral:ncRNA from 1 species